rnacentral:rRNA from 1 species
CCUACGGGAGGCAGCAGUGGGGAAUAUUGCACAAUGGGGGAAACCCUGAUGCAGCGACGCCGCGUGAGUGAAGAAGUAUUUCGGUAUGUAAAGCUCUAUCAGCAGGAACGAGACAAGACGGUACCUGACUAAGAAGCCCCGGCUAACUACGUGCCAGCAGCCGCGGUAAUACGUAGGGGGCAAGAGUUAUCCGGAAUCACUGGGUGUAAAGGGAGCGUAGACGGCUGGGCAAGCCUGAAGUGAAAGGCGGGGGCCCAACCCCCGGACUGCUUUGGGAACUGUACGGCUGGAGGGCAGGAGAGGUAAGUGGAAUUCCUAGUGUAGCGGUGAAAUGCGUAGAUAUUAGGAGGAACACCAGUGGCGAAGGCGGCUUACUGGACUGUAACUGACGUUGAGGCUCGAAAGCGUGGGGAGCAAACAGGAUUAGAUACCCGGGUAGUC